ACUUAGCUUUUGUUUAAAUCUAAUAGCCUGGAUUAACAAUAGAAAUUUCCCGGUUAUUAUUUCAGAAUAAUAAUUCAUGCAUAAGAGGAUCAUGCAUCGUUAAUUUCAUAUUCUCAUUAUUUGAGGAUUUUGCUCGAGCAGUAUCUUAUUUAUAUUCUCGUAAUAAAGGUCAAGCACGAGAUUAAUAAUCAGACAAGGAGCUACUGUACCACAGAAAGUUUCUAUCAGGUUGAGUAGCUGCCGAUGGUGAUGAAGUGACGAGCGGGACUCUUUUGUCUUAUUAUGUAUUAAUGAACUCUAGGGAUACAUGUCUUCAUACAUGUAUUCAGAACCUUAUUCCGCUGCGUACUCAGAAGUGUUAUGUUAUUUUGGCUAAGUCGGAGUUAUCCGAACUUACUAGUUAUUUGAGUCUAUACGACGAAACCUCCGUUAUAUUAUAAAUAUUCCUUUUGUUAACAA